GUGAGGGUGAUCUGGCUGAGACGUCUGUUACCCCACGGGUCACCAGGGUUCUAUUGGCUGAUCUGGCUGGCUAGGCAGAUGUUCCCUUCUUCCGUCACCACUCCAUGUCAGUCCCUCCUGAAGCUCUGUGCUUGGUGAAGGAGGACAAGGUUCCCUAAAUAGAGGAAAACUGGUCUUCGAUCAAGGGUAUAUGAUUAGCUUUGUUCCUCUGCUAGAACCUCUAAACAUGUUCUCAAGGUCCUUUCAUUCACAGCUUAAAACAUAUCUCUCCAUAUUUCCAACUAUGAAUCUAAAAUAUGAGUUUAAGGAAACAUUUCGGAAUUU
rnacentral:snRNA from 1 species